rnacentral:rRNA from 1 species
AACCUACCGUAUGCAGGGGGACAACAGUCAGAAAUGACUGCUAAUACCGCAUAAGCACACAAUGCUGCAUGGCAUGGUGUGAAAAGAUUUAUCGGCAUACGAUGGCCCCGCGUCUGAUUAGCCAGUUGGCAGGGUAAUGGCCUACCAAAGCAACGAUCAGUAGCCGGCUUGAGAGAGUGACCGGCCACAUUGGGACUGAGACACGGCCCAGACUCCUACGGGAGGCAGCAG